rnacentral:rRNA from 1 species
UAGGGAAUUUUCGUCAAUGGGCGCAAGCCUGAACGAGCGAUGCCGCGUGAGUGAAGAAGGCCUUCGGUCGGUAAAGCUCUGUUGCGGGGGAAAAAAGGCAGCAUCAGGAAAUGGGUGCUGACUGAUGGUGCCCCGCCAGAAAGUCACGGCUAACUACGUGCC